rnacentral:tRNA from 1 species
GGAGAGUUGGCUGAGUGGUCUAAGGCGCACGACUGGAAAUCGUGUGAACGUGAUGAGCGUUCCUAGGGUUCAAAUCCCUAACUCUCCG